UCAGAAUUCUGCCUUGUGAAUUGAUGC
rnacentral:piRNA from 1 species